UGUUGAGGGCUUGCUGGGGUUGGCCGGGAUCUGAGCCGCCGUCGAUGGAUUUCUCGCAGGUUGGCUACAUGUUGCUUCGGAUUUGAUCGUUGUACCAUCGUCCCGGUCGCCGCCGCGUCAGUUCCACACCGCUACAGCACAGCCUACCACCGCCACUCCAUUGGCUUGGAUUUGCUUGCGGCAUGGGCUGGGAACUGUACGGUGUUGUCUGAUGCAUGUUCCGCACUGGGAGGUUUGGUCGGCUGACGCUAGGUUUUAUUUCCAUUGAGAGAGAGCGGGCAAUGGAUCGUGAGGUGGAAUGAAAUUAUAAGCAAAUUGAUCUGACCAUCUCUUGUUGUCAGGGAAUCUGUGUGAUCUGUUCUACUUUGACUUGGAGUGUACAACUAUGAUAUUGAAGGCUAUGAAAGAAGUGUUCUUCCCUUAUUUUUAUGAAGCUAGGCACUGCCUCGGCUGCAAAGCGUGUGUUAUCCCAUGAAGCAGGCCCUCCUUUGCAAGGCUGACGACGAUAGCUUCAACUUCGCCGCCUAUUCUGGUCGAUGAUGUCAUUGAUAAUAACCAGGAAGUUUUCACUGCUCAGUUCAUCCAGUUGAAUCCUUCUAUUGUAAUUCUAUUCCCUACCUUUUCUUACUCGUAGGAAAUUCAAGUGUGGUACACAUGUGAGUAUCUUCUCCUUCCCUCUGUUGUAUGCAUGUGGUCAUUUGUUAUCCCGAUUAAGAAUCAAGAUCCACUACAUUCUUGAAUAUUGAAGACUGUUUUAGUUGGUCCAGAUUAAACUUGAUAAAUACAAUUUCCUUGUUGGUUCCAUCUGAGUUGUAUAAUUGAUUUGGGCAGUUUUCAGUAAUCUUAAGCUUUCUUCAGAUUUUAGCUUCCUCAAUCAUUCUGAAUUAUUUAACCUCAGUAUGAGGUACAUGUGUUCCAAAGAUUAAUGCUGAGAAAUUUGUAGUUGACCAGUUGGGUCUGUUUGAUUUGUUUAGUAGACUGCAACGGCAGUCACAAUUGUUCAGAUCUAUUCUAAAGCUGCAUUAUUAGCACUGCAAUAUCUUUGUUACUUCAACCAAAUAGUCCAGUCGUGUCUUAUUGAUUUGGACGGGUUCUUACUAAUCUUUAAGCCAACUUCAAAUUUUAGCCUGCUCGGUCAAUCUGGAUUAUUUAGUGUCAAUUUUGAUGCAUGUCUUUAAUAAAAUAAGAAACUGAUUUUGGGUGCUAAAAUAAACACUAAACACUACUUGUUCAUGGCGACUAUGUGUAGAAAGACGAUCAUGGUGGAGAUCCCGACGGUCGACGUGAAGCCGGGAUGGAAUAAGGGCACGAAGAUCACCUUCCUAGAAGGAACAAUCUGAUUUUUUCGGGAGUGGCUAGCGCGCAACACUGCCAUGCUCCUCUGCUGCUCCGUCAUCACAGGGUGGGACGGCGACCUCGCCUUCCUGUUCAUUGUUCUGCCGGUAGCGACGUUCUUUGUCCAGGAUCAUCCGGACAGGGAGGUCCUCCAGGCCAUGCGUCUAGGCAUGUACUGCAACGCCGACCACAUGGCUAAGAUGGUCGUUGCCGCAACCGAGUUCCGUGCUCUCCGUUCUUCAGUAAAUCCAGAUGCGGAAACUAAAAGGCGAGUACCAUGGGAUCAUGAAGUAUAUAAAGCAAAGGAGGAGGAGUGCCAUCUCCUCUCCAGCAAGAUAUUUUUUUUGCUGGGGAAUGAACGAAUUGAAUGCAAGAUUGCAUUGUUACAAGGACAGAGAGUGGACCACCACCUUCAGUUUCUCAGAUUCCCUGUUUGCAUUCGCCAUUCUCAACAAGCACCAGGAUGUGGCUUUGGUUCUGCACAAACAAUAUCUUCAGUGGUUUCUAGAUCAAGCCCUAUGUUCUUUAUCUGAACAAUAGACAUUGUAAUUCUUCCAUCCAUUACCUCUGAAAGUCAAGAAUCGAAAGAAAAGUCAUUGGCA